AGUCACUGACAUUAGAUACCCGCGUAGUCCAGGGUGUAAACGCUGCAGACUUGGUGUUGGAAGCCCUUUGGGGGCAUUCAGUGCCGGAGAGAAGUUGUUAAGUCUGCUACUUGGGAGUACGUCCGCAAGGAUGAAACUUAAAGGAAUUGGCGGGGGAGCACCGCAACGGGAGGAGCGUGCGGUUUAAUUGGAUUCAACACCGUAAACUCACCAGGGAAGACUGUUACAUGAAAGCCGAGAUGAAGACUCUGCUAGAUUUUCAG
rnacentral:rRNA from 1 species